rnacentral:misc_RNA from 1 species
UUUCCGUAGGUGAACCUGCGGAAGGAUCAUUAUUGAAUAACCAAGGUGCGAAGCCUGUCUCUGAAUAGAAAGGUCGUGCAUGCUCGGGUGUCGUCACACACAUCCAUCUCACCGCCAUGUACACGAGCGCGCGGGGCCACCUUUGUCUUGUUCGGAUGUGGGCUUACGGUUUCAUAGAAAUUUUGAAGUCAGUGUUGACAGUAUUUGUUGUCUUUGCGUUGGCGCCAUUAACUAAACCUUCAACAACGGAGCUCUCGCCUCUUGCAUCCAUGAACAACC